rnacentral:snRNA from 1 species
AUGCCUUAAACUUAUGAGUAAGGAAAAUAACAAAUUAGAUUCAUAUAUUUAAGGCUCUACCAGGAUAAAUCUGUAGGCUGGCACCUCUACAGAUCUGGGGUAUUAAGGGCAGCUCUACCCC